GAUGAAGAACGCAGCGAAAUGCGAUGAGUAAUGUGAAUUGCAGAAUUCAGUGAAUCAUCGAAUCUUUGAACGCACAUUGCGCCCGCCAGUAUUCUGGCGGGCAUGCCUGUUCGAGCGUCAUUUCAACCAUCAAGCCCCCGGCUUGUGUUGGGGACCUGCGGCUGCCGCAGGCCCUGAAAACCAGUGGCGGGCUCGCUAGUCACUCCGAGCGUAGUAGUUACAUCUCGCUCAGGGCGUGCUGCGGGUUCCGGCCGUUAAAAGCCUUAUUUACCCAAGGUUGACCUCGGAUCAGGUAGGAAGACCCGCUGAACUUAAGCAUAUCAAUAAGCGGAGGA
rnacentral:misc_RNA from 1 species